AGGCUACCUGGCUUCAGCCCAAUGUACUUGUGAUGUAAAUUAUAAUUCUAUAUUUAAUUUUAUGAUAAUUAUUCACUAAUUAUGUCAUUCAUUUGUAGACAAGGAAACAACAUAACUCUAAUGAUUGUGGGUACUAUGUGAUGAGAAAUAUGUUGGAUAUUGUCUCUGUCAAUAUAACCGAGUCUUGGAUGCAGGUAUUUGAUGACCCUACAGAAUUUACACAAGAUGAUUUGUAUGAUUUACGACUCCGUUGGGCAAAAUGUUUCUUUGAGUUAUAUAAAGAUUAAGCUUUAUCUGCAAAUGUGAUUUUGGUGUUGUCUUCAGAAGCUACAACUCAUCUUCUCGUGGAUGCAUGUUGGUAUUUCAAGUGCGGGAAAGGACUUAUAAAUUGUUGUAUAUUUGUUGUUUUGUUAUUGUUUUGGUAGUCCAUCGUGUGUAAACUUUCUUAUAAUUUUGUACACUUAUGUGUAUCCUAGAUUAAUACUUUUGUAA